rnacentral:piRNA from 1 species
UAGAAUGUCACAAAAGAUCUCCACAUCCGU